ACAGAGGGUGCGAGCGUUGUUCGGAAUUAUUGGGCGUAAAGGGCGCGUAGGCGGUGCGGCAAGUCACCUGUGAUACCUCUGGGCUUAACUCAGAGCCUGCAGGCGAAACUGCCGUGCUGGAGUGUGGGAGAGGUGCGUGGAAUUCCCGGUGUAGCGGUGAAAUGCGUAGAUAUCGGGAGGAAUACCGGUGGCGAAGGCGGCAUCCUGGACCGGCAUUGACGCUGAGGAGCGAAAGCCAGGGGAGCAAACGGGA
rnacentral:rRNA from 1 species